rnacentral:rRNA from 1 species
GAUGAACGCUGGCGGCGUGCUUAACACAUGCAAGUCGAACGGGAAUUAUUUUAUUGAAACUUCGGUCGAUUUAAUUUAAUUCUAGUGGCGGACGGGUGAGUAACGCGUGGGUAACCUGCCCUAUACAGGGGGAUAACAGUCAGAAAUGGCUGCUAAUACCGCAUAAGCGCACAGAGCUGCAUGGCUCAGUGUGAAAAACUCCGGUGGUAUAAGAUGGACCCGCGUUGGAUUAGCUGGUUGGUGGGGUAACGGCCCACCAAGGCGACGAUCCAUAGCCGGCCUGAGAGGGUGAACGGCCACAUUGGGACUGAGACACGGCACAGACUCCUACGGGAGGCAGCAGUGGGGAAUAUUGCACAAUGGGGGAAACCCUGAUGGAGCGACGCCGCGUGAAGGAAGAAGUAUCUCGGUAUGUAAACUUCUAUCAGCAGGGAAGAUAGUGACGGUACCUGACUAAGAAGCCCCGGCUAACUACGUG